rnacentral:rRNA from 1 species
AGCAGCAGCCGCGGUAAUACGAAGGGGGCUAGCGUUGUUCGGAAUUACUGGGCGUAAAGCGCACGUAGGCGGAUCGAUCAGUCAGGGGUGAAAUCCCAGGGCUCAACCCUGGAACUGCCUUUGAUACUGUCGAUCUGGAGUAUGGAAGAGGUGAGUGGAAUUCCGAGUGUAGAGAUGAAAUUCGUAGAUAUUCGGAGGAACACCAGUGGCGAAGGCGGCUCACUGGUCCAUUACUGACGCUGAGGUGCGAAAGCGUGGGGAGCAAACAGGAUUAGAUACCCCGGUAGUCCCUGUCUCUUAUAC